AUUGAACGCUGGCGGCAUGCUUUACACAUGCAAGUCGAACGGCAGCACGGACUUCGGUCUGGUGGCGAGUGGCGAACGGGUGAGUAACGCAUCGGAACGUGCCCAAUCGUGGGGGAUAACGUAGCGAAAGUUACGCUAAUACCGCAUACGAUCUAAGAAUGAAAGCGGGGGAUCGCAAGACCUCGCGCGAAUGGAGCGGCCGAUGUUAGAUUAGGGAGUUGGUGGGGUAAAGGCUCACCAAGCCGACGAUCUAUAGCUGGUCUGAGAGGAUGAUCAGCCACACUGGGACUGAGACACGGCCCAGACUCCUACGGGAGGCAGCAGUGGGGAAUUUUGGACAAUGGGCGCAAGCCUGAUCCAGCCAUUCCGCGUGCAGGAUGAAGGCCCUCGGGUUGUAAACUGCUUUUGUACAGAACGAAAAGCUCUGGGUUAAUACCCUGGGGUCAUGACGGUACUGUAAGAAUAAGCACCGGCUAACUACGUGCCAGCCGCCGCAGUAAUAC
rnacentral:rRNA from 1 species